AACACUGUCUGGUAACGA
rnacentral:miRNA from 1 species